rnacentral:tRNA from 1 species
GGUUUGGUAGUUCAGUUGGUUAGAAUACUUGCCUGUCACGCAAGGGGUCGCGGGUUCGAGUCCCGUCCAGACCGCAA